rnacentral:rRNA from 1 species
UGGGGAAUCUUGGACAAUGGGGGAAACCCUGAUCCAGCAACGCCGUGUGAGUGAUGAAGGUCUUCGGAUUGUAAAGCUCUGUUAGCCGGGAAAAAACUCGUGAGCAUCAGAUCCUCACGAUUGAUGGUACCGGCAGAGGAAGCACCGGCUAACUCUGUGCCAGCAGCCGCGGUAAUACAGAGGGUGCGAGCGUUAUUCGAAAUUAUUGGGCGUAAAGCGCAAGUAGGUGGUGAGAUAAGUCUUGUGUGAAAUACUCGGGCUCAACCCGAGAGGGUCAUAGGAAACUGUCUCGCUAGAGUGCAAUAGGGGAGAGCGGAAUUCCCAGUGUAGUAGUGAAAUACGUAGAUAUUGGGAGGAACACCGGCGGCGAAGGCGACAUCCUGGACCAAUUCUGACGCUGAGGCUCGAAAGCGUGGGGAGCAAACAGGAUUAGAUACCCUUGUAGUCCCUGAGCGGGCUGGCAAGGCGCAU